rnacentral:rRNA from 1 species
GUAGACUCCUACGGGAGGCAGCAGUGGGGAAUAUUGCACAAUGGGCGCAAGCCUGAUGCAGCCAUGCCGCGUGUGUGAAGAAGGCCUUCGGGUGUAAAUGCACUUUCAGUCGUGAGGAAGGUAGUGCUAGUUAAUAGCUGCAUUAUUUGACGUUAGCGACAGAAGAAGCACCGGCUAANUCCCGUGCCAGCAGCCGCGGUAAUACGGAGGGUGCGAGCGUUAAUCGGAAUUUACUGGGCGUAAAGCGCAUGCAGGUGGUUUGUUAAGUCAGAUGUGAAAGCCCGGGGCUCAACCUCGGAAUUGCAUUUGAAACUGGCAGACUAGAGUACUGUAGAGGGGGGUAGAAUUUCAGGUGUAGCGGUGAAAUGCGUAGAGAUCUGAAGGAAUACCGGUGGCGAAGGCGGCCCCCUGGACAGAUACUAACACUCAGAUGCGAAAGCGUGGGGAGCAAACAGGAUUAGAUACCCUGGUAG